GAACUAGGAGUUGGAAUAGGAGC
rnacentral:piRNA from 1 species